CAGUGGCGAACGGCUCACCGCCAAAAUACUUCUGCCUGCGUAUGGCUCGGUGGGGAGCGAUUCAAAUACGUCAAGCACAGGAUGUUGAAGACGACCUAUCGUCUUCAUUCUAGUACCUACACGCAAGCGUCAGUUGCCAACUGGGAUACCUCAAAUAUCAUCACACAGAAUUACGCAAGAACCAUCCGACGGUCAGUAAGAUGACCUCAACACGUCAGUUCGAGAGCUCGUUUGAAGUAAUCGCUUUACAUCUACGGGGUUGUCAUUUAUAUAAUCGAUUCGAUGCCACUAUGUAGACCGGCUAAGUAGCUUUUGAAGCGAAUCCGCACAGUGCGGCUGUUUCCUGCACUACGCCCUGAUGGCCUGUUGGGGCCGACCUCCACUUAGCUUUCCCCAGCGAUAUUAGACGGGACUUUGCCAUCUAGCGGAAGUCGAUGGAACGUCAGGCAUAUAUAUAUAUAUAUAUAUAUAUAUAGUCAAAUAGGCAGACCAGCUUUCAAGAGGUACAACAAGAGAAUACGAAACGAUGUACAGGACACAGUGAUAUGCAACACUCACGAG